CAAACGUGGACGCUCGGCUUCCUCACAAAAAGAACAAAAAAGAAUCCAAUUUCUCUCCUACUCCUUCUCGCUCACGAAACACAGAGAUAUCGGAGCAAUAAUGGGGGCGGAGGUGGGAGUAGCAGUGAGGACGUUGUUAAGCGUACUUGGAUGUCUCAUGGUGGCGGUUCUUGUUUACACAAUCGCCACUGACGGCCGCCCUUUUCGUAUUGAGCUACUCACCAGGUGGAUGGUUGCAUUACUGAUUGAUUUCUACAUACAUAUUGCUAUUAUAGGGGCUUGGGUUGUCUACAAGGAAUCAAGUUGGAUCAUGGCAACUGUUUGGGUCAUUUUGUUAAUUUGCUUAGGAAGUGUCACUACCUGCGGAUACAUCGUUAUGCAGUUCUACAAGUUGACACCUGAAGAAUCUUCAAAAGAUCCUUUGUACUUCGUGUUGGCUAGACACCAGAAAAGAGAUGCCACGGAGCACAGGAAGGGACCUUCUGUUGUAACUGCAAGAGUAAUCUUUGCUGUACUAGGCUGCUUGAUGCUGGGAGCUUUGCUUUACACGCUUAUUGUUGAUGGAUCUCCAUUCCGUGCUGAAUUAUACACACCGUGGAUGAUAGCAACAUUAAUUGACUUCUAUAUCAACGUUGUGGCUUUAGCGGUCUGGAUAGCAUAUAAGGAAUCAAGUUGGAUGAGUGCUUUCUUGUGGAUACCUCUUAUUGUGUGUUCUGGGAGCAUUGCAACCUGUGUAUACAUACUGCGACAACUAUUCUUUCUCUCUCCCGAUCAGCCUGUUUCCCUUAUACUCUUCAGCAACAAUCACAGGCUCAUUAAACAGGCAUAAAAGAAUCAUUUGGCCAACAUGACAGUACAAAGGGUUAGCUGAGCAAUAACUGAUUUGUGUUUACUUGUCAUUUUUAUGGAUAUCAAAAACUUAAAUAAGCUUAUAUGCAUUAUGCAUAAUCUGUAGUGUACACCAACCUUGUAUNUUAAAUAAGCUUAUAUGCAUUAUGCAUAAUCUGUAGUGUACACCAACCUUGUAUCUUAAAUAAGCUUAUAAGCAAUGAUAAGAUAACAUUAUACUA